CAAUAACAAACAAAUAGUAGCUGACGAAUGUCUCGCGAAACUGGUUAAAACACUGCGAAUCUGCGACUGAAGCCGGGGUUGAGGCGGCUCGGCUGGAGCAUAUUUUUCAGCGGCGAAUCUACCGUUACGAGGAGUUGCUGCGCGGUGCGGGGACCGUUGGCGGCGGCGGCGGCUCGCGUGCUGCUUUCUCGCGCUACUUUUUCAUGUCCACAGCCAUCGUUCAAAGUUUCCGUUUUAAUCCACGGGGAGUGACCGAAGGCUCUGUUUCAUUUCAGAGACGAGUGUCCCCCCCAGCAAUGUAAAAGUCUCCCUCCCACAACAGGACCGUCUGCCAGGACCAUUGCUAUCACUGUUUGGAGAGGAUAGGCUGGAGUCCUUUACUGCUCUGACGUCACUGUGCCAAUGGAAACAUGGGGCUGUCUUAAAGGGCCAGCGCACCGUAAACACGGCAGCUUUUAGACCCUUAGGUCUAUUUUCGGACACAAACGGAACGAGAUGUACAAGAGAGAGCGAGUUGAGCCAUGUACUGGAGUAUGACGACCCGCCCAACGCGGAGCUUUAGCCACUGCUGCACCCAGGAAUCAGCCAUGUGGACCUGAUAGCACAAAGGACCGGGCAGCAUCAACAGGGUGGAGGACGACCUCCUGGGGUCCGUGUGGAAUGCAGGAUCAAUACUAGUCCAGCACUGAGGAAGCGCAGCGCCCAUGAGCUGAACAGGCUUGUGAUUAUGGGAUGGACACACACUAAAACUAAUCACCACAUUGAAAUACUGUACUUUUGUGCUGUUGUGAUUCAUCCCAGAAGUGAUCAUGACACAGCUGAAUGUUGUAACCCUGGAGAACAAACCGGGCCCUGAACGCAGCAGGCCUGCUCCAGAAGCAUACGUCGUUUUCCCACACUGGUUUAAUAUUUAAUUUCAAAGGCGUCA
rnacentral:lncRNA from 1 species